AUUCGCUGCCGCUGCGACGGAUGACAGAUUUCUGCAGGGCUGGUGCAAAGAGUGGUGAAAGGGAGCGUGGGUGAGGCUGCGCCGGUGGUACUCCCCCUCGCCGGGCUUAGGGAGCAGGUGGAGCAGCUACCUUCUAGUGGGACUCCAAGAAACCAAUCUGUCUGUCUCUCCCGAUGGGGAAUGUCCUUGAUGCCUUGAAUUCUGCUGGGAAGCCCUCUCUGCAGAUUGGACUCCGGGGGUGCUUGUCACUUGCUGCUCCGUGGAGUUCUUCCCAGUAGCCACCUUAGCCUCUUCCCUGACUUCUAAGAUACCAGGAUCCAAAGUAAUGGCAGUGAGCCUGGCCAAAGCCACGGAGGUGCUGUGGGCAGGUG
rnacentral:lncRNA from 1 species